GGGGUUGUGGCUCAGCAGUAGAGCACUCACCUAGCACAUGGGAGACACUGGGUUCGAUCCCCAGCACCA
rnacentral:tRNA from 1 species